CCUUUCCAAGACCUUCUACAAGUAAUGGAAGGUUAUAGCUACUGAUUUUUGCAGCAAGGUUACUGUCAAGCAAAACAUCUGUUAUCCUCAAGUUGUUAUCAUAAACACCAGGGACGAUACCAGUAUGCAAGAACUGGAUCCCUUUUGCUACACCAAUUGCUACACUUAUGCGUUGCUCCCAAGUAAGCAAUCUUCCCACAUUCCCAUCUAACACACAGAACAGUGAAGUUAGAAAAAAAAAACAUAUAAUAAUUGAUCAAUGGUCUUAAAAGACAUCAUGUUUUAAUAUCAUACCAGAGAUCCAGCUCCUGAGUUCACCAUUUGGGACAUACUCAAAGACAAAGAACAUUCUACUGACUGUUGAAUCAUCUAAGUAACACUCAAAGCAAUGCCCUAGCACGCUAACCAAGUGACGGUGCCUCAGCUUAGCAAUGAGCUCUAUGUGAUGCAUCAGGUUUUGAGUGCUGCAACUUUUCUUCAUUUUCAAACAUCUUAUUGCCACAAAUGAUCCAUCCUUCAACCUCCCUCUAUAAAUCUAAAUUAAAAAGGCCAAAGAUGAGAAAAUCACACUAACAGCACUUGGAAACAGAAGAUGGCUUGAAGUUUAUUACCUGUCCUUGAGAACCUUCACCCAUGAAAGCAGAUGAUUCAAAGUUGUUUGUAGCAUACUCAAGCUCUUCCAGUGAGAAUGUCCUGUAAGCUGGAAGACCAAGCGCUCCUAGCUUCAUUGUUUGAGAGAUAUACCCUUUCACAAGUAACCAAUAAAACUCAAUAUGUGAAAAUGUGUGACAAUAUUUUCAAUUAAUGUUUUCUUACUAGCAUCUGAGAGUAGCUUUGAAGUGUAUCCCAUUGAAACAUUCUCUUUGAUCAAUCUUGGAGAAGCUUCUGUUGCUUUCCUCUUAGCACUAACUCUCCUAAGCACUACAAACACUGCACCAGCGAGGAGAAUCAACCCUAGGACGCCUCCUGUUACACCUAAGGCAACACCCAACUUGGAAACUCUUUUCCUCCUCUGUGGUAAGAUCCCAACAGCAAGAGCUUCAUUGCUACAGAAUGAAACUGGACGUUGGUCUUCAUUAGCAUUAGCCAAACAGUUACCUCCAUAGACAACAUCUCUGCUAGUUUUUGAGCUAGGUUUAAGACAAUCAGGCAAGCUUCCGGUAAGAAGAUUAGAUGAUAGAUCAACAGAGAUCAGCUGUGAGUUGCAAGAGAGAUUUGUCGAAAGCCGCCCGGUGAGUUUGUUGUGUGAAAUGUUCAAGUAAGUAAUAGCUGGGAGAGACAUCAAGGAAGUAGGAAAAGGCGAUUCUAGCAUUAGUAUCAUAGUUAUCUCCAUUUCGUUACAGUGAAAGAUUAGACCUUUUGAGAUGUUCUUGUUUCAGUACAUUAGAUUAUAACAACAAAUAUUUUUGAGAUUAUAACAGCAAAUCAUUUAAUUACCUCUGUGCAUUGGGAGGCGAUUCUAGCAUUAGUAUCAUAGUUAUCUCCAUUUCGUUACAGUGAAAGAUUAGACCUUUUGAGAUGUUCUUGUUUCAGUACAUUAGAUUAUAACAACAAAUAUUUUUGAGAUUAUAACAGCAAAUCAUUUAAUUACCUCUGUGCAUUGGGAGGCGAUUCUAGCAUUAGUAUCAUAGUUAUCUCCAUUUCGUUACAGUGAAAGAUUAGACCUUUUGAGAUGUUCUUGUUUCAGUACAUUAGAUUAUAACAACAAAUAUUUUUGAGAUUAUAACAGCAAUAAGUUGAAUUAUUCUUCGAAGUACUUGAAAAAUGAGUCCGAGAGUACAUUAUUAGCAUCAUUUAUCAGCCAUUAUCUAUGAAAGCAUAUGCCUUUGAAGAUGUAGCUGCGUGCAGUGAGAGGAGAGUUAGCAUUAGUAUCAUAGUUAUCUACAUUUACAUUACAGUGAAAGAUUAGACCUUUUUUGGUAGUGUUCUUGUUUCAGCUCUUUUAGAUUAUUAACAGCAAUUUUUUUUGCUUGAAUGUGUUUAUUAUGAUCUGUCUUAAUGAUCAUUUGUACAUUACUUGAGAGAGAGCCCUCGGUUUAUGAAAAACUCAGAAUCUUGUUUCUCUUUUUAUAGGGGAGCUGUUAACAACAGAUGAAGCACGUAGACGUCAAACUAUCUACGACAAACUCAGGUCAACGCAACAAUCCUUCUCUUCAGCUCUCCUAGUCAUACGCGAGCACCUCCCUUCAGGACAAGCUUGCUUGAGAAUAAACAUCGACGCCACAAGCAUCGGUAACGUUGCUAGGUUCAUUAACCACUCUUGCGACGGUGGAAACCUCUCCACCGUUCUGCUGAGAAGCACGGGGGCUUUGCUUCCUCGCCUAUGUUUCUUUGCAGCAAGGGACAUAGCUGCAGGUGAGGAGUUGAGUUUCAGUUAUGGAGAUGUACGUCUCACUCCAGGGGAGAGCGCAGAGAACAAGUUGAAUUGCUCUUGUGGUAGUUCCUGCUGUUUUGGAACAUUGCCUUGUGAGAACACCUGACUUUGUCUCUAUCAAUACUUAUGUCUGAAUUAGAGUUCUGACAAAUUAUUGGUUCUUGAGUAAGUACUAAUGUACUAUUAACAGCUUUGAUCAUUAGCAACAACAACAACAGAGAAUAUUUUGAAAACAAGAAACUAUGAUUGUCUAUAGAUAUAGAUGGAAGUUAGGUUCCUCUCACAAUGGACCAAACAAAAACUCUCUGCCUCUCUACCUCUCAUGUUCUUCAUAUCCUGCAAUUUACAGCCACACACAAACACAAUCUCAGAUCAAGAAACUCAUUCAAUCUCAGCUCUCAUAUUCAAAACUAUACCUGAAUCUCGUGGUGAUUCGAGUGUUGUUAUGUGCAAACGAGCGGAAGCUGCAGGAGAAGGCGAGCCGCGAAUGCUCGGAGGAUUGCUGUUAUGUAGCCAACCUUCUUGGACUUGAGAAGCAAACUGAAGAUUCCAAAGAACAUCUUCAAUGGAAGGCCGUUCUAGAGGGUCUUUGAGGAGGCACCUUACGCAUAUCUCCAUCAUUGUCUUGAGUGAUUGGUCUGAACAUGUUCUGUGGACCGUUGGAUCCACCAUGCUCCUACGCGCUCCAUCAUCCGUUGAGAUGCUUGCUUGUAACUAAUGGGAAAAGAAUACAUAUUUUAAAGUAGAUGAUCAUGAUUUCAUUUCUAGCUAUAUAUAUUACCUGCUCUUUUAGAACAUCUACUUGACCCUUUCCUCUCAAUGGUCUUCCCACUAUAAGUUCAAGCAAGAUCACUCCAAAGUCAUAGAUAUCUACUUUAUCUUCAUCUUUGAUGCUGAUAAGAAACAGAGAAUUAAACCAUGGAAGUUGGUUUAAGAUAAUAAUUAAAAAAAAAAAAGACAAGAAGAGUUUACACACCUUGGAGUUCCUUUUCUUGAUACAACUUGUCCCACCUUAAAAAGAAAAGCAAAACACAUUCAGCUAACAGAUUCAAGAAGCUAACAAGAUUUAGACUCUUAACAUCAUUUACCUUUCCAAGACCUUCCACAAGUAAAGGAAGGUUAUAGCUACUGAUCUUUGCAGCAAGGUUAUUGUCAAGCAAAACGUCUGUUAUCCUCAGGUUGUUGUCAUAAACACCAGGGACGAUACCAGUAUGCAAGAACUGGAUCCCUUUUGCUACACCAAUCGCUACGCUUAUGCGUUGCUCCCAAGUAAGCAAUCUUCCCACAUG
rnacentral:lncRNA from 1 species